CCCUUAGAUGUUCUGGGCCGCACGCGCGCUACACUGACGGUUUCAUCGAGCUUACAACCUUGGCUGAGAGGCCCGGGUAAUCUUCAAAGGCCGUCGUGAUGGGGAUAGAUUAUUGCAAUUUUUAAUCUUCAACGAGGAAUGCCUAGUAAACGCAAGUCAUCAGCUUGCAUUGAUUACGUCCCUGCCCUUUGUACACACCGCCCGUCGCUACUACCGAUUGAAUGGUUUAGUGAGUUCCUUGGAUUGCGCCCUCCUCCCUCGGGCGGAGGGUACGAGAAGAGGAUCAAACUUGACUAUUUAGAGGAAGUAAAAGUCGUANCA
rnacentral:rRNA from 1 species